AGCAGUCGCCGCGAUAAUACGUAGGGUGCGAGCGUUAAUCGGAAUUACUGGGCGUAAAGCGUGCGCAGGCGGUUAUAUAAGUCAGAUGUGAAAUCCCCGAGCUCAACCUGGGAACUGCAUUUGAGACUGUAUGGCUAGAGUGUGUCAGAGGGGGGUAGAAUUCCACGUGUAGCAGUGAAAUGCGUAGAUAUGUGGAGGAAUACCGAUGGCGAAGGCAGCCCCCUGGGAUAACACUGACGCUCAUGCGCGAAAGCGUGGGGAGCAAACAGGAUUAGAUACCCCAGUAGUCCCUGUCUCUUAUAC
rnacentral:rRNA from 1 species